rnacentral:rRNA from 1 species
GGUGUGAAUAUUGCACAAUGGGCGCAAGCCUGAUGCAGCCAUGCCGCGUGUGUGAAGAAGGCCUUAGGGUUGUAAAGCACUUUCAGCGAGGAGGAAGGCAUCAUACUUAAUACGUGUGGUGAUUGACGUUACUCGCAAAAAAAGCACCGGCUAACUCCGUGCCAGCAGCCGCGGUAAAUAAAAAAACA